CGGAAGCUGCUAUCUGACUGUAAACUGACCGUUAGCCGCGGCUGCUAAGAGCUAACAGAUGUCGGUGUGUGUUCAGAGAUGAACCGGAAACAGCUAGCAUGUAAUGUGAUAUUCCAGUCGACACCAAUCUAAUGGAUAACACCGACACUAACUUAAGUUAACGACCAAAGUUUUAGAGAAAAACAACUCACUGUGCUUCGCGAGAAAGACGCGUGCUUUGAGGCGCUUCCGGGUUUGCGCACAUCAUAUUUGCGUCACACCAGAGAGUCGGUGGGUUUUGUUUUUUGUUUUGUUUUUUUAAAUUGAAAGUGUUUGUUAAACAUUACAUGAAUACAUAUACCAGGGCCCUGUUUCAGAAACCCGGUUUAGAAAACUCAGAGUUAAAAAUGAUACUCAGGGUUGAGUAACCCCGAACUGUCCAACUCGGAAUAUUCGGUUUCAGAAAGGCUGAUAACAAUUAGUUCAAUCAACGCGGAGUUGCUUUAACCCCAAGUUAAGCACGCGCAUAAAGCCCUGAUUAGUGGAGCACAGAUUAAGCGAGUCGCCAUGGAGACGGAGGGAAAGAAGGCGCGGCCAAUGUAUUUUACAGCGCUUGAGGCCGAAAUUCUGAUGGCAGCAUAUGCCGAUAACAUGCAAAUUUUGCGGAAAAAAAGUAACACAGCCUCAGCUGCAAAAGAAAGGGAGCAUGCAUGGCAAUACAUAGCCGACAGAGUCAAUGCGUGAGUGUUAAUUUAAAAAUUGAUCUAGGGAUUUCCACCCAUUUAACACGUUAUUUUAUUAUAUUUCAUUUUAUUUUUUAUUUUUUAUUUUAUACAUUUUAUUUUGUGAUGUGAUGUGAGCGCAUGUGCAACCCAACAGGCCCCAAACGUUCCUGGCAGCAAGUAAAAAUGAAAUAUAAAAAAUGUAGAGGAAGAGAGGUCCAGCCACUUCUCCAACAAACCUUUCCUCACUCCCUGUAAAGCAGCUGUACAAGACCUGUUUGAUCAAGAAAAUAAAAAAAUGCCUUUUGGAAAUGGAACACUUCAAGCAGCAGAAUGGAAUGUGAGUGCCAUCUAUACAGCCAAUCACGCCUGGGAACCCUGAAAAUAAAUGUAAAAUCUAAGUAGUAGUGUUAAAAUCUCCCAAUUCUUUUAAUCUUUGGGCUGAAGGAAG
ensembl:lncRNA